UUGAGUUCACUAUACUUAAGCCAUUCACAACAGUCGGCAUGGGAAGUUUCAACCACACUGCCCCCGCAACGGUGAGCAAGCUCCAUCUUGCCAGUCCGAUACCUGCUUGCUGUGUUCUGUCACUC
rnacentral:ncRNA from 27 species